UACGGGGGGGGCAAGCGUUGUUCGGAAUUACUGGGCGUAAAGGGUUUGUAGGUGGCCAACUAAGUCAGACGUGAAAUCCCUCAGCUUAACUGGGGAACUGCGUCUGAUACUGGUUGGCUUGAGUGCAGGAGAGGAAUGCGGAAUUCCAGGUGUAGCGGUGAAAUGCGUAGAUAUCUGGAGGAACACCGGUGGCGAAGGCGGCAUCCUGGACCGGUAUUGACGCUGAGGCGCGAAAGCCAGGGGAGCAAACGGG
rnacentral:rRNA from 1 species